UGCACGCAUGACUGUAAGUCGCUUUGGAUAAAAGUGUGUGCUAAAUGGCAUAUA
rfam:Salmo salar isolate Sally breed double haploid chromosome ssa01, whole genome shotgun sequence.